UUCGGCCAUAGUGGCGCACGGGUGAGUAACGCGUGGGAACCUGCCCAGCAGUGGGGAAUAACUUCGGGAAACCGGGGCUAAUACCGCAUACGCCCUUAGGGGGAAAGAUUUAUUGCUGUUGGAGGGGCCCGCGUCCGAUUAGUUUGUUGGUGGGGUAAUGGCCUACCAAGACUACGAUCGGUAGUUGGUCUGAGAGGAUGAUCAGCCACACUGGGACUGAGACACGGCCCAGACUCCUACGGGAGGCAGCAGUGGGGAAUAUUGGACAAUGGGCGCAAGCCUGAUCCAGCAAUGCCGCGUGAGUGAUGAAGGCCUUAGGGUUGUAAAGCUCUUUCGGCGGGGACGAUGAUGACGGUACCCGCAGAAGGAGCCCCGGCUAACUUCGUGCCAGCAGCCGCGGUAAUACGAAGGGGGCUAGCGUUGUUCGGAAUUACUGGGCGUAAAGAGCACGUAGGCGGUUCGUUAAA
rnacentral:rRNA from 1 species